rnacentral:rRNA from 1 species
UACGGGGGGGGGCAAGCGUUGUUCGGAAUUACUGGGCGUAAAGGGCCAGUAGGCGGCCAACUAAGUCCGACGUGAAAUCCCAAGGCUUAACCUUGGAACUGCGUUGGAUACUGGAUGGCUUGAAUUCGGGAGAGGGAUGCAGAAUUCCAGGUGUAGCGGUGAAAGUGCGUAGAUAUCUGGAGGAAUACCGGUGGCGAAGGCGGCAGUCCUGGACCGACAUUGACGCUGAACGGCGAAAGCUAGGGGAGCAAACGGGAGUUAGAAACCCCA